rnacentral:rRNA from 1 species
AACGAACGCUGGCGGCAGGCUUAACACAUGCAAGUCGAACGGACGUAGCAAUACGUUAGUGGCAGACGGGUGAGUAACGCGAGGGAAUAUGCCCUUUAGUUCGGAAUAACUCAGGGAAACUUGGGCUAAUACCGGAUAAUCCCGAGAGGGGAAAGAUUUAUCGCUGAAGGAGUAGCCCGCGUCUGAUUAGCUAGUUGGUGAGGUAAUGGCUCACCAAGGCGACGAUCAGUAGCUGGUCUGAGAGGAUGAUCAGCCACACUGGGACUGAGACACGGCCCAGACUCCUACGGGAGGCAGCAGUGGGGAAUAUUGGACAAUGGGGGCAACCCUGAUCCAGCCAUGCCGCGUGAGUGAUGAAGGCCUUAGGGUUGUAAAACUCUUUUGUCCGGGAAGAUAAUGACUGUACCGGAAGAAUAAGCCCCGGCUGACUUCGUGCCAGCAGCCGCAGUAAUAC